CCACCAAGUUUCUGAUCUUUUAAAAGGCAAGGGACAUUUCUGGGUCUCAGAUACUUGGUUUCUUAAAUAUCAGGCAUUAUUAUUGGCAAACCCAGAUGCGCUGUCUCUGUCUGUGGGACACUCAAUCCUGCUACACUAUUACCAUCACCAGACGAGUCUCUUCCCUCUCACCUGUGUCGUGAGACCCUAUCCAUUUCUCUAGGAGCUAGAACAGACCUCACCGACAAACCCUGGAAAACCCUGAUGAGAUCUGGUUCACAGACGGGAGCCACAUAUUCUUGUGAACUUAGUGAUCUGCAACUGCUUCUCAAGCAACACUCCAGUGAGAUUGUUCCAUCACCCUAGAGGACUAUGGAUCCCUGUUAGAUAAACCUCUUUCUUAAACAUCUACUGGCUCUAAUCUUUUUUCUUUUAGGGCCCCAAUCAGAUUAUUUUAAUACUAAUUCAAAAUGUCUCUGACAUUAGGGUCCUUCUUUUUAUUCUUCCUUUAGUUCACUGGACUAACACUCCAACAUCUGCCUUUUAAAACCUAAACCAAUAGAAAGCACAGAAAUAAAUUUUUUUUAAGACCCUCGUCUGCUCCUUUCAUCCCUUAGCAAGGAUUAGGUCUAUAUACUUGACCUCUGUCUUUUCAACCUUCUUACAAAAUGUGUUUCUUCUCGUCUAGAGUUAAACUUCAAGUGGCUAUACAAGAUAUGCCUGCAUGUACAUAUCUAAAGUCCCUACAGCUCAGAUGAGUGACUACUAAGUUCAUUUUGGAGACUUCUUGUCAAUUUGAGUUACUUGUUUAUUUUACUGGACACUUACAUUUUCUUUAGAGAUAUUCAUGCUUAUCAGUAAAUAAUUGUGUAUUCUCCAUAAAUAGUUUGAAAUUUCAGACUUCCUGCAUUUAGCGAAGGCAACCAGGUUAAGAUACAUAUUCGUACAUUAAUGCUUUUUUUCGGGACACGCUGUCCUAUUUAAGCCAUCAAUUGAUUCAGCCUUCAAGAUCUUUCUGAAAAUAAACAGAGCUCUGAUAAUUAUUUACCAUGGAUGUUAAGCACUUUUUGAUCUUCGGUUAUGGCAUUCUUGGAACAAUUCAAUCCAUGAAUAAGGACUAACGGUGGAAAGAAAAGUUAAGAGGCCUGGCAAGAGUGGAUCGUCACAUGUCUGGAGGCCUCUUUGAUGGAAGGUCAUGAAGAGAAGAGCCCUCCAGUAGCAUCAGGAGAGAUUUCUUCAAACCUCAUCCCAUGCCACCCUUUGACCAUCAGUGUUUUGAAUCUAAGGAUAGCCUCAUCUAAAAAAGACCACAGCUGGAGAAAGGAGGCAUAGGAGGACUAAAUGCUCCCUCCCAGAUCAGCAGGCUAUAAAUAGUUCCCCUAGAGCACGGUCCUUAAUAGAGAACGGAGAAAAUGUAUGGUAAACAGAAAUGUGCAAA